CCUACGGGCGGCAGCAGUGGGGAAUAUUGGGCAAUGGGCGCAAGCCUGACCCAGCAACGCCGCGUGAAGGAAGAAGGCUUUCGGGUUGUAAACUUCUUUUCUCAGGGACGAAGCAAGUGACGGUACCGGAGGAAUAAGCCACGGCUAACUACGUGCCAGCAGCCGCGGUAAUACGUAGGUGGCAAGCGUUAUCCGGAUUUACUGGGUGUAAAGGGCGUGUAGGCGGGAAAGCAAGUCAGAUGUGAAAACCAUGGGCUCAACCUGUGGCCUGCAUUUGAAACUGUUUUUCUUGAGUACUGGAGAGGCAGACGGAAUUCCUAGUGUAGCGGUGAAAUGCGUAGAUAUUAGGAGGAACACCAGUGGCGAAGGCGGUCUGCUGGACAGCAACUGACGCUGAGGCGCGAAAGCGUGGGGAGCAAACAGGAUUAGAUACCCCAGAAGUC
rnacentral:rRNA from 1 species